CACACCGCCCGUCACACCAUGGGAGUUUGUUGCACCAGAAGCAGGUAGCUUAACCGCAAGGGGGGCGCUUGCCACGGUGUGCCGAUGACUGGGGUG
rnacentral:rRNA from 1 species